rnacentral:misc_RNA from 1 species
GUGCUACACCAACACUCACAACUGCAUCACAGCAAACAAGUCAGGGAGAAAAUUACCAUCAUAUAUCAGACUUAAAAAUUAUAAAUAUAGUACAAUAAGAAAAAGACUGCACCAAAACUAAGGCACGAGAAAAUCAUCUUAGGGAUUCCAUUUAUAAAUUUAUUAGGUACCUUUUCUAGUGAAAGCACUAUGGUUUGAUGAGCCAGAAUCACUAAAAACGCUAAGACUCGAGCUUUUGAUGAAGUAACACGGUUAUCAACCCUAAGUUUUGUUAUCAUUCAUUUUACCAGCACCACUGGUUUCAAGAAGCAGGUAAUAACAAAUUCAACAGAACCCACGUGCCAUCUUCCUUUUAUGAAGUUCAGCAGUAGUUUUAACUGAUGCAUCAAUAACUAUUUAAUAUACAAAUCGUGCUCACAAAUAUGUUCACAAAGUUGUGGACCAUUAAUGAAUUUUAAAGUAGCACAAAAUUCUGCAAGUCAAACAAAAUAAUUUCAUCCAAUCCAACAUAAUGUUUUGCAAUGCUCUAAAAUAUUCCAAGUCCAACAGCCGAAAAUCAAUAGUUUUCACAUGAAGAGAAGCUUCCAUGAUUUUUACAGUUACCUUUCCAAUAGCGGCUGCUAAAUA